CCGCCGGACGCCAACAGGAUGGCCUGGGCGGCCGCGUCAGACCUCGUGGUCAUGGAGGUGGAUUUGUUAUCUGAGGUGUUCGCUGAAUUCUGGAUGAACUGCCACCACAACGGAAGGUAAAUGCUGCUUGUGGCCAGUAGUCUGUGCUGUGCCUCCCACCGAGGCCCUCACCAUCGCGCUUCCAGGCUGUUUUGAGCGCCUGUGUCACCACGGCUAGCUACGCCCGCACCAUCGCAUUAUUUUCCGCGCGUGUGUCGCUCUUCCUGCUCAACCCAGGGUGCUCCCACCCUCCAGCGUGAUAUUUGCAUUUGAUGGUUUCCUGCAAAUGACAGAAUGUUGCUGUGGAGAAAUGUUGCGGGUGUUUCAGAUAUUUGCAUCUAAUGGUUUCCUUCAAAUGACAGAAUGUUGCCAUAGAGACAUAUCACGAAGGCAUUGCCGAGGAGGCGAAUGCAAUAGUAUUUAUGUUAUUUUCGGAAUAUUGGCUUCAAACUGUGUGCAUGCAACCAGGUAGAAGGAUGAAAUCAACAGAUCAAUGUCCAAGCUUUGAUUUGGUCUCAGAAAAACCAUGGUCAUUAUCAGGGUCAAGUUAUUUGCACCUUCCAAAAGAUUAUCAUUAGAAUCAGACUGAUAGAGAGGUUCACAUCAUUUGUGGCAGUGUUUCCCAUCUUUUGUCAUGUUACCAUACAAAGGGAAAUCUCAUGGGCUUCCAGCUCUUCUGAUUCUGAUCAAAGAUGAAGGUCGUGUUGUAGAUCAUGUUUCUUUUGGCACGGGUGUUGUUCAGGAUGUUUCACUCACAAAUAAUACUACAUCGAUUCCCCUACAGAGAAAGUACAAGAAAUUGAAUAAAGUUUAUUGUCACUUUAAGAGUUAUAUUUCUGAACCUGUGCCUUGCCUGCCAUAGCUCUGACAACAUAUCCUUAUGACUUUGUUUAGGAUGCUUAAUUUUCUUCCCAACUGCCCACUCUGCUCAGAAGUGUAUGUGCCGUUCUAUACUGAAGCAUGCUUCCACAUUCAGUUUAUUCAACAUAAUUUGCUUACCACAUUCAGUCUUAGAGUACUGUAUGGAGUAUCCAUGUCAGGAUGGGCUCUAAUCGGGAGGGUCAUCAGGGUCAUCUGUAUGCUUCCGUACGGACUUCGAAAACAGAAAUCUAUGGUUCACUCUCUAUUGAAAGCAUCAAGUUACCUGUCCCUUUUUGCAUUGGAGUUUUUGGUACCUAGAGAGUUCAGAUGACUGAAACUGAGGUGCAAGUAUUGUCAGUACUGGAUAAAGGGUGUUCUGAUUUUGUACUGAUGUGGUUAGGUUUGUAUGUGUUAUUUAACAUCUUCAUAUCCACUGGGGCAAAACAUGAGUUGAUCGUUCAAGAUUAAUUGCAGGACCAAAAUGAUACUCAAGCAGCUACAUUCAGAUGUCUGCAUAUGACGUUUACAAAUGUCCGGUGCUCAGGCUACCUACAAGAGUAAAGACUAUUUAGAUGGUAGUGUAGUUAUAUUACAUAUAUUUUUCAUCAGUAGUUGGUUUCAUGUUGAGUCGGAGAAAAAUGGGCAUGUAGAUCCAGAAGUAAUCACUUUUACUACAAACAAAAGGCGCUGGGUUUGAUAUGUGCCAGCACUGAAAUGAUAUUCAGCUCAUUUAGACAUAUGUUUGCCUUACUAUGGUGAGGCCCUGGACAUGUUGUCAGGAUCAUGGCAACUAUAGCACACCUUAUCAGUGUGUAUGUUGUAUUUCUGGUUGAUGACCAUGAUCGAUUUUCACACCAAUUAAGAGUUGAGUGGGUUAAUUUUAUU